GGAAAAGAAACUAACUAGGAUUCCCUUAGUAACGGCGAGUGAACCGGGAUGAGCUCAAAUUUAAAAUCUGGCGUCUUUCAGGCGUCCGAGUUGUAAUCUAUAGAGGCGUUUUCCGCGCCGGACCGCGUCCAAGUCUCUUGGAAUAGAGUAUCAAAGAGGGUGACAAUCCCGUACUUGACGCGACAACCGGUGCUCUGUGAUACGUUCUCAAUGAGUCGAGUUGUUUGGGAAUGCAGCUCUAAAUGGGUGGUAAAUUCCAUCUAAGGCUAAAUAUUGGCGAGAGACCGAUAGCGAACAAGUACCGUGAGGGAAAGAUGAAAAGCACUUUGGAAAGAGAGUUAAACAGCACGUGAAAUUGUUAAAAGGGAAACGAUUGAAGUCAGUCGUGUGAAAGGUAUUCAGCCGUCUCUGGCGGUGUAUUUGCCUUUCACGGGUCAACAUCAGUUUGAUCCGGUAGAAAAAGGCGGGAGGAAGGUGGCACCCUCGGGUGUGUUAUAGCCUCCUGUCAUAUGUGCCGGACCAGACUGAGGAACGCAGCUUGCCGCAAGGCCGGGGUUCGCCCACGUACAA
rnacentral:rRNA from 1 species